rnacentral:pre_miRNA from 1 species
AAUAAGUGCAGUUUUGCACUAUUCACGUUCAACGUUUGACUGUCCGUCUUAUUUGAAAAAUUUGUGAAAAAAUUAAAAACAUUUAGUCACACAUAAAGUACUAUUCAUGUUUUAUCAUCUAAUAGCAAUAAAAAUAAUAAUCAUAAAAAAUUUUCAAAUAAGACGGACGGUCAAACGUUGAACAUGAAUAGUGCAAAACUGCACUUAUU